rnacentral:pre_miRNA from 1 species
ACAUGCUUCUUUAUAUCCUCAUAGAUAUCUCAGCACUAUGGAAUGUAAGGAAGUGUGUGG